GGCUCACUGCCAUCUCCACCUAUCAGGUUCAACUGAUUCUCCUGUUUCAGCCUCCCAAGUAACUGGGAUUACGGGCGCAUGCCGCCACGCCCAGUCAAUUCUUUGUAUUUUAGUAGAGACAGGGUUUCACCGUGUUGCCCAGGAUAGUAUCGAACUCCUGAGCUCAGGCAAUCCACCCGACUUGCCCUCCCAAAAUGCUAGGAUUACAGGCGUGAGCCACCGUGCCCAGCCCGUUAUUCUUGUUUUUAGACCAGGAGCUGACAAGCCUUUUACAUAAAGGGUUGGAUAGCAAAUAUUAAUACUUCAGGCUUUGUAGGCCAUAUAGGCUCUGUAACUAUGCAACGGUGCUGUUGCAGCUCUAACGCUGCCAGAGACAAUACAGAAGAGAAUGGGCAUGGCUGUGUUCCAAUAAAACUUUAUUUAUGGACACUGAAAUUUGAAUUUCACAUAUUUCUCACGUUAGAAAAUAAUUCUUUUUAUUUUUUCCAACCAUUUAAAAAUGUUCUCAAGACCAUUCUCAGCUUACAAGGCCAAUGAAAAACAGGUGGCAGGCUGGACUUGACCCACGGACCGACCAUAGUUGGCCAGUUCCUGUUUUAGUCCACACAAGUUUCUUUUUUUUUUUUUUUGAGAUGGAGUUUCGCUCUUAUUGCCAGGCUGGAGUGCAAUGGUGCGAUCUCAGCUCACCACAACCUCUGCCUCCCAGGCUCAAGUGAUUCUCCUGCCUCAGCCUCCCGUGUAGCUGGGAUUACAGGCAUGUGUGCCACAAUGCCCAGCUAAUUUUGUAUUUUUAUAGAGACAGAGUUUCACCAUGUUGGCCAGGCUGGUCCCGAACUCCUGACCUCACACAUGAGGCCCGCCUCGGUCUCCCAGUGUUGGGAUUACAGGCGUGAGCCACUGUGCCUGUCCACAAAUUUGUUUCUUAAGUCUAUUUCCCCAUAGGCAGGGGGAAAAAAAAAUGGGACAUUUGAGGACAUAAUAAACCUAUCUUCAUAUCAGUACCUCCAAAUAAGACACACACAGAAAGUACAAACUGUGGGAACAGAAAGCUAAACAGAAAUCUGGCAUCAGUGCAGAAAUUGAGAGCUUUGCAUAAUUUACCUGUAUCCAGGAGUAGAGGUGGAAGAGACUGUGGGGCCUCCUGUUCCUGCCACCAGUAGGUAUCUUCACAAAACAUGACUUACAGGUUCAUGCUGUUGAAUUACCUACAAUUAAUAUGGUUUGGGCGGGGCGCACUGGCUCACGCCUAUAAUCCCAGCACUUUGGGAAGCUGAGGUGGGCGGAUCACGACAUCAGGAGUUCGAGACCAACCUGGCCAAGAUGGUGAAAUCCUGUCUUUACUAAAAAUAGAGUGAGACUGUCUCAAAAAAAAAAAAAAAAA
rnacentral:lncRNA from 1 species